UACGGAGGGAGCUAGCGUUAUUCGGAAUUACUGGGCGUAAAGCGCACGUAGGCGGCUUUGUAAGUAAGAGGUGAAAGCCUGGAGCUCAACUCCAGAAUUGCCUUUUAGACUGCAUCGCUUGAAUCAUGGAGAGGUGAGUGGAAUUCCGAGUGUAGAGGUGAAAUUCGUAGAUAUUCGGAAGAACACCAGUGGCGAAGGCGGCUGACUGGACAUGUAUUGACGCUGAGGUGCGAAAGCGUGGGGAGCAAACAGG
rnacentral:rRNA from 1 species